CUACGUGCCAGCAGCCGCGGUAAUACGUAGGUGGCGAGCGUUGUCCGGAAUUAUUGGGCGUAAAGGGAGCGCAGGCGGACAUAUAAGUCCAUCUUAAAAGUGCGGGGCUCAACCCCGUGAGGGGAUGGAAACUGUAUGCCUUGAGUGCAGGAGAGGAAAGCGGAAUUCCCAGUGUAGCGGUGAAAUGCGUAGAUAUUGGGAGGAACACCAGUGGCGAAGGCGGCUUUCUGGACUGUAACUGACGCUGAGGCUCGAAAGCCAGGGGAGCGAACGGGAUUAGAUACCCCGGUAGUCCUGGCCGUAAACGAUGGGUACUAGGUGUAGGAGGUAUCGACCCCUUCUGUGCCGGAGUUAACGCAAUAAGUACCCCGCCUGGGGAGUACGACCGCAAGGUUGAAACUCAAAGGAAUUGACGGGGGCCCGCACAAGCGGUGGAGUAUGUGGUUUAAUUCGACGCAACGCGAAGAACCUUACCAGGUCUUGACAUUGAUGGACAGAACUAGAGAUAG
rnacentral:rRNA from 1 species